CAUACGGCUCAGUAACGCGUAGUCAACCUACCCUAUGGACGGAAAUAACCUCGGGAAACUGAGAAUAAUAUCCGAUAGAACAUUAUGCCUGGAAUGGUUUAUGUUCCAAAUGAUUUAUCGCCGUAGGAUGGGACUGCGGCCUAUCAGUUUGUUGGUGAGGUAAUGGUCCACCAAGACUAUUACAGGUACGGGCUCUGAGAGGAGUAGCCCGGAGAUGGGUACUGAGACACGGACCCAGGCCCUAUGGGGCGCAGCAGGCGAGAAAACUUUGCAAUGUGCGAAAGCACGACAAGGUUAAUCCGAGUGAUUUCUGCUAAAGAAAUCUUUUGUUAGUCCUAGAAACACUAACGAAUAAGGGGUGGGCAAGUUCUGGUGUCAGCCGCCGCGGUAAAACCAGCACCUCAAGUGGUCAGGAUGAUUAUUGGGCCUAAAGCAUCCGUAGCCGGCUCUGUAAGUCCUCGGUUAAAUCUGUACGCUUAACGUACAGGCUGCCGGGAAUACUGCAUAGCUAGGGAGUGGGAGAGGUAGACGGUACUCGGUAGGAAGGGGUAAAAUCCUUUGAUCUAUUGAUGACCACCUGUGGCGAAGGCGGUCUACCAGAACACGUCCGACGGUGAGGGAUGAAAGCUGGGGGAGCAAACCGGAUUAGAUACCCGGGUAGUCCCAGCUGUAAACUAUGCAAACUCAGUGAUGCAUUGGCUUGUGGCCAAUGCAGUGCUGCAGGGAAGCCGUUAAGUUUGCCGCCUGGGAAGUACGUACGCAAGUAUGAAACUUAAAGGAAUUGGCGGGGGAGCACCACAAGGGGUGAAGCCUGCGGUUCAAUUGGAUUCAACGCCGGGAAGG
rnacentral:rRNA from 1 species